rnacentral:rRNA from 1 species
ACGAACGCUGGCGGCGUGCUUAACACAUGCAAGUCGAACGGAAAGGCCCCUUUGGGGGUACUCGAGUGGCGAACGGGUGAGUAACACGUGAGUAACCUGCCCUUGACUUCGGGAUAACUUCAGGAAACUGGGGCUAAUACCGGAUAGGAAUCCUUGCUGCAUGGUGGGGGUUGGAAAGCUUCGGCGGUUUUGGAUGGACUCGCGGCUUAUCAGCUUGAUGGUGGGGUAGGGGCUUACCAAGGCUUUGACGGGUAGCCGGCCUGAGAGGGCGACCGGCCACAUUGGGACUGAGAUACGGCCCAGACUCCUACGGGAGGCAGCAGUGGGGAAUAUUGCACAAUGGGCGGAAGCCUGAUGCAGCAACGCCGCGUGCGGGAUGACGGCCUUCGGGUUGUAAACCGCUUUCAGCAGGGGCGAAGCUUGUGGUGACGGUACCUGCAGAAGAAGCACCGGCUAACUACGUG